GGCCUUUGGAAGGGGCUGUAAAAGAACCUAAGUUUCAUACGUGAAGAAUUUCAACACAGUGAUCCAGCAGAUUAAACUCUCACACUUCUCUGUUCUUGGCCUGAAAGCUGAAAAUGAAUAAAGAAAAUGUGUAGUGAGGUGAGAUGCAAAUGUUAGAUAGUUUUAGUGCUUGUAGAACUUCCAAAUCUUGAUUUGUAAUAUCAGAAGCAGUUAAACAGUUUAACAGUUAUCUUUCUCUGCCACUAACUGGAAAAAAUAAUGUGUUGAACGUAAGUGAAUGCUCACUGCCUAUGUAUACCUGUGUAAGAAUCAAUAAAUGUUUUGCAGUUCUUCAUUCACAAUGAGAAAAUUAUAAUCAAUGGGCAUUUUAGAAACAGAAGUUAAUUGUACACUUCAGCGAGAUGAUACAGAUAAGUAAUGGCUUCAGGCAGACAACUACUCCUCUAUUUAUAGCUAGAUAGCUGAGGACAGAAGAAAGGGAAGUGAGUGGGAGAGAAAACAAAUCCCCAAAUAAUAGCUAGUGAUUGCUUCUUGGUGACACAUCCUUUUCUAUUUUAUUUUCAUUCCUCUCUUUACCACAGGACCUCUUCUGGAAAUUAUACUUUUCAGGUUCCAUCUACCUGGCCCCCCUGAGGCAGCCACCAGGCCUCAGUGCCCACUGGAGAACAAGUGGCCCCGCUGGGCCCUGCUGAGAAUUGAUGCGAGGCUGAGGUUGGUGCCCUGCACCAGCCAGGAAGCUCUGGAUGUUCAUGUGGAUCUAGCUCUGACCUAUUUUAGGUGUUUACAUCUCAAGGGAGAUGAAUCAGGAAGAAACACCACUGAAGAGAUAUGUAGACAUUAGAGGCAUGUAAACAUUUUCCCCGUAAAUAUUCCCAAAGUCUAGACCCACACAAAAGCUGGAACUUAUCAGGUCAGUCCUUAUUGCACAAUUUACAAUGGAAAGCACUUAGAUGUUUUCCCAAAGGCAGGAACCUAGUACCCAGAGUAAUGAAGAGUCUUCUUCUAGGACCUGUUCCUAGCUCUCACACCUAAUCUGGAAAGCAGAGAAUGAAAAGAAAGCAAUUGCAGACACACCAAACAUAUAAACAAACAAACAACAGGACCAUAGAAACCAUGCACUGUUUUCUAACUCUUUAUAUCUGGGAGAUAAUUACUGUUAAUAUCCAAUCACUAUGUGUGGG
rnacentral:lncRNA from 1 species